rnacentral:rRNA from 1 species
AUGCCGCAUAUAAAUGUACCAACCGUGUACCCGGUGCAAUGCGUAGCUAGUCCGGUGCGAUCGAGAUGGCCUCUCGAUCGAAGGAGAAGCAGCGUUGCAACCCAGCUGCUCACGCUGAAGACGCCCAUGUGCCAAGCGCGUCGUGCACGCGGAGGCCGCAACUUGCUCUUCUCUCACCUCACUUUUCCCGUCGCCCGGCGAGCUAGAAGGAUAGACUCGUGGACAAUAACCUUGCUGCUGCGAAGAUAUGAAGAAAAAUGCAGAGUGUGUGGCUCAACCUUGCUGCUGCGAAGAUAUGAAGAAAAAUGCAGAGUGUGUGGCUCACCUUGCUGUUGUAGCCUAUAG